AAUCCACCUCUGCCUGACUGUAUCGUCUGCUCCAGUGGUAUUCCUGUCUGGUUUACUCUCUACUUUUGUCUUUUGCCGCUCUUCUUGGCUUUUUGGGCUAAGCUUUGUCUUUUGUGCGUUCGUUCAGGUUCACUGCCUCAUCUCUUCCCUGUCAGCCCAGCCAGCUCUGAUGCUCUAAUCAUAUGAAGAAAAUUGCAUGGAUGGGCUUUAAUGUAUGAUGUACUGGACCAUUUUGUGUAACAGCAGACAACAGAAGGCAUAUGCCACAGUCAGAAGGGUCGCGGGGGGUCGGAGCCUAUCCCCUGCUUUGGGUGAGAGGC